UCAAUUAAGUAUUGAACCCACAUUAAUACAUAAUAGAAUUUUUGACAGAAUUGUGACGGGAUGACACAUUGAUUUGCAACACCUAUUUUCAGGGACUACGUUGAUUGUUUUUCAAUUUCAAGGACCAUCUUGAUGGUGUGGAUCAAUUUCAGAGACCAUCUUGAUGGUGUGAGUCAAUUUCAGGGACGAUUUGUGAUAAAAACUCUUAUAUCUUGUGGACU
rnacentral:lncRNA from 1 species